rnacentral:lncRNA from 1 species
CAUGAAUAUGGGCUGUUUUGACAAUACAAUGUACAUAUAUCGGGUACUAGCAUCAUUAAGUCGUGAUAAAUUCUGAAAUCUUCACAAUUUUAUCAGUUAGUUUUCAGACAGUUUCCGUCUACAAUGAAAAUGGCCGCAUCUGUGUUCAUUCUUAAUAUUAAAAUGUAAGUUGUAUUUGAUGAUAAUACAUAACAUAUAUAAAGGCUGAAGAUGAACACAGCCAAUUUCAUU